rnacentral:piRNA from 1 species
UAUGGAAUUAUGUUUUAGUAAAGCUUAGU